GAUGAACGCUGGCGGCGUGCUUAACACAUGCAAGUCGAACGGUGAAGCAGAGCUUGCUCUGUGGAUCAGUGGCGAACGGGUGAGUAGCACGUGAGCAACCUGCCCUGGACUCUGGGAUAAGCGCUGGAAACGGCGUCUAAUACUGGAUACGAGACGUGGCCGCAUGGUCAACGUUUGGAAAGAUUUUUUGGUUCAGGAUGGGCUCGCGGCCUAUCAGCUUGUUGGUGAGGUAAUGGCUCACCAAGGCGUCGACGGGUAGCCGGCCUGGGAGGGUGACCGGCCACACUGGGACUGGGACACGGCCCAGACUCCUACGGGAGGCAGCAGUGGGGAAUAUUGCACAAUGGGCGAAAGCCUGAUGCAGCAACGCCGCGUGAGGGAUGACGGCCUUCGGGUUGUAAACCUCUUUUAGCAAGGAAGAAGCGAAAGUGACGGUACUUGCAGAAAAAGCGCCGGCUAACUACGUGCCAGCAGCCGCAGUAA
rnacentral:rRNA from 1 species